rnacentral:lncRNA from 1 species
UGCAAGGUCACACACACAGAGCUCCUUACUCCUCAUCCCUGGGCAUGUCUAAGAUUGGAGUAUAACAGGGAGGUAAGUUCCUAAAGAACAGGUUUGCUGUGGUGGUACAUAAUGCAAGAGAUACCUGGUGAAGGAAGAUGCCCCACUCAAUGAAGUUUGGAACAGACUCAUGGCCAGGACAAGUUCAAUAUCUGAGGUGAGAUACUUUGAGGUUCUCAUAACUCAACUCAAAUUAAUUUCCA